rnacentral:rRNA from 1 species
CAAGUCGAGGGGCAGCAUGGUGUAGCAAUACACUGAUGGCGACCGGCAAACGGGUGCGGAACACGUACAGAACCUUCCUUCGAGCGGGGAAUAGCCCAGAGAAAUUUGGAUUAAUACCCCAUAGUAUAACAGAGAGGCAUCUCUUUGUUAUUAAAGAUUUAUCACUUGAAGAUGGCUGUGCGGCUGAUUAGGUAGUUGGCGGGGUAACGGCCCACCAAGCCUACGAUCAGUAACUGGUGUGAGAGCACGACCAGUCGCACGGGCACUGAGACACGGGCCCGACUCCUACGGGAGGCAGCAGUAAGGAAUAUUGGUCAAUGGGCGAAAGUCUGAACCAGCCAUGCCGCGUGAAGGAUGAAGGUCCUCUGGAUUGUAAACUUCUUUUAUAUGGGACGAAAAUGGGCCUUUCUAGGUCAACUGACGGUACCAUAAGAAUAAGCACCGGCUAACUCCGUGCCAGCAGCCGCGGUAAUACGGAGGGUGCAAGCGUUAUCCGGAUUCACUGGGUUUAAAGGGUGCGUAGGUGGGUUGGUAAGUCAGUGGUGAAAUCCCCGAGCUUAACUCGGGAACUGCCAUUGAUACUAUCAGUCUUGAAUAUCGUGGAGGUCAGCGGAAUAUGUCAUGUAGCGGUGAAAUGCUUAGAUAUGACAUAGAACACCAAUUGCGAAGGCAGCUGGCUACCCGAAUAUUGACACUGAGGCACGAAAGCGUGGGGAUCAAACAGGAUUAGAUACCCUGGUAGUCCACGCCCUAAACUAUGGAUACUCGACAUAUGCGAUACACUGUAUGUGUCUGAGCGAAAGCAUUAAGUAUCCCACCUGGGAAGUACGACCGCAAGGUUGAAACUCAAAGGAAUUGGCGG